UAUCACUGAGCAGUUUUGCAAGUAUUGUUUUAAAUUGUAAAGUAGUGCUGAGUUAGGUUUCUAUAAGAGGAAGAGGAGUGGAAUAGCAAGGAGGCACUUAUAAAAGUAAGCAGUACAGCAAUGCUGGGAUCUGGGAGGAUUCUGCUGAAGGAAACUCUCAUUCCACAACAUGCCCUUACAUGAGGAAUAAUGUCACAGGCAGGGCCGAUGCUGGAAUUGAGCAACCUCUCCACAGCAAGAAGAAUGCUUGUAAAAGAGGAAUGCUUCGAUGAUGCUUCUUCCAUAGAAGAAUGAAAAGGAGUGCUGGAAUCAAAGCAUUCCCUAAGGUACAAGAUCGAGUGAACUGAGCAGUUAGAG